rnacentral:rRNA from 1 species
CUGUGUGUUGUUGGGUAGGGGAGCGUUCUGUAAGCCUGUGAAGGUGUGCUGUGAGGCAUGCUGGAGGUAUCAGAAGUGCGAAUGCUGACAUAAGUAACGAUAAAGCGGGUGAAAAGCCCGCUCGCCGGAAGACCAAGGGUUCCUGUCCAACGUUAAUCGGGGCAGGGUGAGUCGACCCCUAAGGCGAGGCCGAAAGGCGUAGUCGAUGGGAAACAGGUUAAUAUUCCUGUACUUGGUGUUACUGCGAAGGGGGGACGGAGAAGGCUAUGUUGGCCGGGCGACGGUUGUCCCGGUUUAAGCGUGUAGGCUGGUUUUCCAGGCAAAUCCGGAGAAUCAAGGCUGAGGCGUGAUGACGAGGCACUACGGUGCUGAAGCAACAAAUGCCCUGCUUCCAGGAAAAGCCUCUAAGCAUCAGGUAACAUCAAAUCGUACCCCAAACCGACACAGGUGGUCAGGUAGAGAAUACCAAGGCGCUUGAGAGAACUCGGGUGAAGGAACUAGGCAAAAUGGUGCCGUAACUUCGGGAGAAGGCACGCUGAUAUGUAGGUGAAGCGACUUGCUCGUGGAGCUGAAAUCAGUCGAAGAUACCAGCUGGCUGCAACUGUUUAUUAAAAACACAGCACUGUGCAAACACGAAAGUGGACGUAUACGGUGUGACGCCUGCCCGGUGCCGGAAGGUUAAUUGAUGGGGUCAGCGCAAGCGAAGCUCUUGAUCGAAGCCCCGGUAAACGGCGGCCGUAACUAUAACGGUCCUAAGGUAGCGAAAUUCCUUGUCGGGUAAGUUCCGACCUGCACGAAUGGCGUAAUGAUGGCCAGGCUGUCUCCACCCGAGACUCAGUGAAAUUGAACUCGCUGUGAAGAUGCAGUGUACCCGCGGCAAGACGGAAAGACCCCGUGAACCUUUACUAUAGCUUGACACUGAACACUGGUCCUUGAUGUGUAGGAUAGGUGGGAGGCUUUGAAGUGUGGACGCCAGUCUGCAUGGAGCCGUCCUUGAAAUACCACCCUUUAAUGGCUGGUGUUCUAACGUUGGCCCGUAAUCCGGGUUGCGGACAGUGUCUGGUGGGUAGUUUGACUGGGGCGGUCUCCUCCUAAAGAGUAACGGAGGAGCACGAAGGUUGGCUAAUCCUGGUCGGACAUCAGGAGGUUAGUGCAAUGGCAUAAGCCAGCUUGACUGCGAGCGUGACGGCGCGAGCAGGUGCGAAAGCAGGUCAUAGUGAUCCGGUGGUUCUGAAUGGAAGGGCCAUCGCUCAACGGAUAAAAGGUACUCCGGGGAUAACAGGCUGAUACCGCCCAAGAGUUCAUAUCGACGGCGGUGUUUGGCACCUCGAUGUCGGCUCAUCACAUCCUGGGGCUGAAGUAGGUCCCAAGGGUAUGGCUGUUCGCCAUUUAAAGUGGUACGCGAGCUGGGUUUAGAACGUCGUGAGACAGUUCGGUCCCUAUCUGCCGUGGGCGCUGGAGAACUGAGGGGGGCUGCUCCUAGUACGAGAGGACCGGAGUGGACGCAUCACUGGUGUUCGGGUUGUCAUGCCAAUGGCACUGCCCGGUAGCUAAAUGCGGAAGAGAUAAGUGCUGAAAGCAUCUAAGCACGAAACUUGCCCC